rnacentral:tRNA from 1 species
GUGGAAAUAACUUAAUAUGGUAGAGUGUAGCCUUGCCAAGGCUACUGUGAAGGUUCAAAUCCUUUUUUUCACG